GACGAACGCUGGCGGCGUGCUUAACACAUGCAAGUCGAACGGAAAGGCCCUUCUCGCGGGGUACUCGAGUGGCGAACGGGUGAGUAACACGUGAGUAAUCUGCCCUUCACUUCGGGAUAACUCUAGGAAACUGGGGCUAAUACCGGAUAGGAGCCCUUGUUGGAGGGUGGGUUGGGGAAAUUUUUCGCGGUUGGGGUUGGUCUCGCGGCAUAUCAGCUUGUUGGUGGGGUAGUGGCAUACCAAGGCGGUGACGGGUAGCCGGCCUGAGAGGGUGAACGGCCACAUUGGGACUGAGAUACGGCCCAGACUCCUACGGGAGGCAGCAGUGGGGAAUAUUGCACAAUGGGUGGAAGCCUGAUGCAGCAACGCCGCGUGCGGGAUGACGGCCUUCGGGUUGUAAACCGCUUUCGCUCAUGACGAAGCUUUGUGUGACGGUAGUGGGUAAAGAAGCACCGGCUAACUACGUG
rnacentral:rRNA from 1 species